UUGGAGGGCAAGUCUGGUGCCAGCAGCCGCGGUAAUUCCAGCUCCAAUAGCGUAUAUUAAAGUUGUUGCAGUUAAAAAGCUCGUAGUUGAAUUUCGGGAUUAGUACGUUGGUCGUGCCUUAGGUACGUACUGGUGUUACUGGUUCCUACCUUCUGACGAACCAUCAUGUCAUUAAUUUGGUGUGGUGGGGAAUCAGGACUGUUACUUUGAAAAAAUUAGAGUGUUUAAAGCAGGCUCGCGCUUGAAUACAUUAGCAUGGAAUAAUGAAAUAGGACGUUGAUCCUAUUUUGUUGGUUUCUAGGAUUGACGUAAUGAUUAAUAGGGAUAGUUGGGGGCAUUAGUAUUCAAUUGUCAGAGGUGAAAUUCUUGGAUUUAUUGAAGACUAACUACUGCGAAAGCAUUUGCCAAGGAUGUUUUCAUUAAUCAAGAUCGAAAGUUAGGGGAUCGAAGACGAUCAGAUACCGUCGUAGUCUUAACCAUAAACUAUGCCGACUAGGGAUCGGAUGAUGUUAAUUUUUUAAUGACUCAUUCGGCGCCUUACGGGAAAC
rnacentral:rRNA from 1 species